rnacentral:rRNA from 1 species
CAAACCGAUGUCACGUGACAGCCCGCAGGCGUUGUGACGUCGGGGUCGUGGGGCCUGACCGGUUCUGGCUGCGGCCGGGACGAGGAGUCAGAAAUCCCAAGCCUAACUGAAGCGCCUGGAAAGGCGCACCACAGAAGGUGACAGUCCUGUAAGGUAAAGGUUUUGGACUCCCUGGGUCGGGUUCCCAAGUACCACGGGACACGUGAAAUCCUGUGGGAAUCCGGGGGGACCACCCUCCAAGGCUAAACACUCGCUGGUGACCGAUAGUGAACCAGUACCGUGAGGGAAAGGUGAAAAGAACCCCGAGAGGGGAGUGAAAUAGUACCUGAAACCGUAUACCUACAAGCAGUCGGAGCCCUAUGUUUCUGCCUUCGGGUAGAGACAGGGUGACGGCGUGCCUUUUGCUUAAUGAGCCGGCGAGUUACCGUAUGCAGCAAGGUUAAGCCGAUUAGGCGAAGCCGUAGCGAAAGCGAGUCUGAAUAGGGCGAUUCAGUUGCGUGCGGUAGACCCGAAGCCAGGUGAGCUAUCCUUGACCAGGGUGAAGUGGCGGUAACACGCCAUGGAGGCCCGAACUGAUUACGGUUGAAAACGUAUGGGAUGAGUUGAGGAUAGGAGUGAAAGGCCAAUCAAACCUGGAGAUAGCUGGUUCUCCCUGAAAUAGCUCUAGGGCUAGCCUCGGAGGGUCAGCAGCGGCGGUAGAGCACUGGAUGAGCUAGGGCUCUUACCAGGGUACCGACCUCAACCAAACUCCGAAUGCCGCUGACUUUAAUCCGGGAGUCAGACUACGGGGGCUAAGCUCCGUGGUCGAGAGGGAAACAGCCCAGAUCGCCAGCUAAGGUCCCUGAAUGUAGGCUAAGUGGGAAAGGCUGUCACAUCGCUUUGACAACCAGGAGGUUGGCUUAGAGGCAGCCAUCCUUUAAAGAGUGCGUAACAGCUCACUGGUCAAGUGACGUGGCGCCGACAAUGUAACGGGGCUCAAGCCUACUACCGAAGCUGCGAAUUGCCCACGUUAGUGGGCAAUGGUAAGGGAGCAUUCUGCCGCCAGUGAAGCCGGACCGUAAGGACCGGUGGAGGUUGCAGAAGAGAUUAUGCCGGCCCGAGUAGCGAUAAUCUCGGUGAAAAACCGAGACGCCGUAAGUCUAAGGUUUCCUGGGGAAGGUUAAUCCGCCCGGCGAUGGACAACAGGUUAACAUUCCUGUACCACCGGACGGCGACAAAGACGCAAUGGGGGGACGCAGGAGGGUAGGUCAUCGCGCGAUCGGAUGUGCGCGUCUAAGCCUGUAGGGGGUUCCGGUAGGCAAAUCCGCCGGGGCACAUUCCCUGAGAGGUGAUGGGGAUCCUUUUCUACGGAAAAGGAGAACUGGCUGAGCCCACGCUGCCUAGAAAAACCUCUAGCGAGCCGUCAGGUGACCGUACCGCAAACCGACACAGGUAGACGGGGAGAGCAUCCCAAGGCGCUCGAGAGAACACGCGUUAAGGAACUCGGCAAAAUUUCCCCGUAACUUCGGGAGAAGGGGAACCGAUCACCGUUAGCAGCUUCGCGCUGCGAAGCGGUGGACGGUCGCAGAGAAUCAGGCCAACCGACUGUUUACUAAAAACACAGGAGGGUGCAAAGCCGCAAGGCGAAGCCCUGAAUCGAAGCCCCGGUAAACGGCGGCCGUAACUAUAACGGUCCUAAGGUAGCGAAAUUCCUUGUCGGGUAAGUUCCGACCUGCACGAAUGGCGUAA